AUACGGAGGAUGCGAGCGUUAUCCGGAUUUAUUGGGUUUAAAGGGAGCGUAGGUGGGAUAUUAAGUCAGCUGUGAAAGUUUGGGGCUCAACCUUAAAAUUGCAGUUGAUACUGGUUUCCUUGAGUACGGUACAGGUGGGCGGAAUUCGUGGUGUAGCGGUGAAAUGCUUAGAUAUCACGAAGAACUCCGAUCGCGAAGGCAGCUCACCGGGCCGGAACUGACACUGAUGCUCGAAAGUGCAGGUAUCAAACAGGAUUAGAUACCCUGGUAGUCCACACAGUAAACGAUGAAUACUCGCUGUUUGCGAUAUACAGUAAGCGGCCAAGCGAAAGCAUUAAGUAUUCCACCUGGGGAGUACGCCGGCAACGGUGAAACUCAAAGGAAUUGACGGGG
rnacentral:rRNA from 1 species